rnacentral:rRNA from 1 species
GACGAACGCUGGCGGCGUGCCUAAUACAUGCAAGUCGAACGAACCGCGACUGAGUGCUUGCACUUGGUCAAGGUGAGUGGCGAACGGGUGAGUAACACGUGGGUAACCUACCUCAUAGUGGGGGAUAACAGUCGGAAACGACUGCUAAUACCGCAUAGGGCAUGGGAUCACAUGAUUCUGUGAGGAAAGGUGGCGCAAGCUAUCGCUAAGAGAUGGACCCGCGGUGCAUUAGCUAGUUGGUAGGGUAACGGCCUACCAAGGCGAUGAUGCAUAGCCGACCUGAGAGGGUGAUCGGCCACAUUGGGACUGAGACACGGCCCAAACUCCUACGGGAGGCAGCAGUAGGGAAUCUUCCGCAAUGGACGCAAGUCUGACGGAGCAACGCCGCGUGAGUGAAGAAGGUCUUCGGAUCGUAAAGCUCUGUUGUUAGAGAAGAACAGCGCAUAGAGUAACUGUUAUGCGUGUGACGUAUCUAACCAGAAAGCCACGCA